UGUGGGAGCUGGCUUGCCUGCGAUGCAGGCGACUCGGUCUUUCUGCUACACCAAGGCGAUGCCAUCGCAGGCAAGCCAGCUCCCACA
rnacentral:misc_RNA from 1 species